rnacentral:rRNA from 1 species
GAUGAACGCUGACAGAAUGCUUAACACAUGCAAGUCAACUUGAACUUCGGUUUGGGUGGCGGACGGGUGAGUAACGCGUAAAGAACUUGCCUCACAGAUAGGGACAACAUUUGGAAACGAAUGCUAAUACCUGAUAUUAUGAUUAUAUGGCAUCGUAUAAUUAUGAAAGCUAUAUGCGCUGUGAGAGAGCUUUGCGUCCCAUUAGCUAGUUGGAGAGGUAACGGCUCACCAAGGCGAUGAUGGGUAGCCGGCCUGAGAGGGUGAUCGGCCACAAGGGGACUGAGACACGGCCCUUACUCCUACGGGAGGAAGCAGUGGGGAAUAUUGGACAAUGGACCAAGAGUCUGAUCCAGCAAUUCUGUGUGCACGAUGAAGUUUUUCGGAAUGUAAAGUGCUUUCAGUUGGGAAGAAAAAAAUGACGGUACCAACAGAAGAAGUGACGGCUAACUACGUG